GACGAACGCUGGCGGCGUGCUUAACACAUGCAAGUCGAGCGGAAAGGCCUUUCGGGGUACUCGAGCGGCGAACGGGUGAGUAACACGUGAGCAACCUGCCCUUAGCUUUGGGAUAACCCUCGGAAACGGGGGCUAAUACCGAAUAUUCACUGCCGGGCGCAUGUUUGGUGGUGUAAAGUUUUUCGGCUAGGGAUGGGCUCGCGGCCUAUCAGCUUGUUGGUGGGGUAAUGGCCUACCAAGGCGACGACGGGUAGCCGGCCUGAGAGGGCGACCGGCCACACUGGGACUGAGACACGGCCCAGACUCCUACGGGAGGCAGCAGUGGGGAAUAUUGCACAAUGGGCGGAAGCCUGAUGCAGCGACGCCGCGUGAGGGAUGACGGCCUUCGGGUUGUAAACCUCUUUCAGCUCCGACGAAGCGAAAGUGACGGUAGGGGCAGAAGAAGCGCCGGCCAACUACGUGCCAGCAGCCGCGGUAAGACGUAGGGCGCGAGCGUUGUCCCGGAUUUAUGGGCGUAAAGAGCUCGUAGGCGGCUUGUCGCGUCGACUGUGAAAACCCGUGGCUCAACCAUGUGGUCUGCAGUCGAUACGGGCAGGCUAGAAUUCGGUAGGGGAGACUGGAAUUCCUGGUGUAGCGGUGAAAUGCGCAGAUAUCAGGAGGAACACCGGUGGCGAAGGCGGGUCUCUGGGCCGAUAUUGACGCUGAGGAGCGAAAGCGUGGGGAGCGAACAGGAUUAGAUACCCUGGUAGUCCACGCUGUAAACGUUGGGCGCUAGGUGUGGGGGGCCUCUCCGGUCCUCUGUGCCGCAGCUAACGCAUUAAGCGCCCCGCCUGGGGAGUACGGCCGCAAGGCUAAAACUCAAAGGAAUUGACGGGGGCCCGCACAAGCGGCGGAGCAUGCGGAUUAAUUCGAUGCAACGCGAAGAACCUUACCUGGGUUUGACAUGGGCGCUAAAGCCGCAGAGAUGUGGUGUCCUUCGGGGGCGUUCACAGGUGGUGCAUGGCUGUCGUCAGUUCGUGUCGUGAGAUGUUGGGUUAAGUCCCGCAACGAGCGCAACCCUUAUUCCAUGUUGCCAGCGGGUUAUGCCGGGGACUCAUGGGAGACUGCCGGGGUCAACUCGGAGGAAGGUGGGGAUGACGUCAAGUCAUCAUGCCCCUUAUGUCCAGGGCUUCACGCAUGCUACAAUGGCCGGUACAAAGGGCUGCGAUACCGCGAGGUGGAGCGAAUCCCAAAAAGCCGGUCUCAGUUCGGAUCGGGGUCUGCAACUCGACCCCGUGAAGUCGGAGUCGCUAGUAAUCGCAGAUCAGCAACGCUGCGGUGAAUACGUUCCCGGGCCU
rnacentral:rRNA from 1 species